rnacentral:misc_RNA from 1 species
AAGUCGUAACAAGGUUUACCGUGAGGGUGAAUCCUGCUGGAAGGGAAUCAUUUAAAAGAGAUAGGGUCUUCAUGGCCCGAGCCUCCAACCCUCUUGUUGUUAUAACUACCUUGUUGCUUUGGCGGGACCGUCUCGGCUGCUCCGAGCGGCACUAACCCUCGGGUUGGUGAGCGCCCGCCAGAGUCCAACCAAACUCUUGUAUUAAACCAGUCGUCUGAGUAUAAAAUUUUAAUUAAAUUAAAA